AGAGAAGAAGAAAUGCGAGGGCGAAAGAAGGGAAAGCGGCAUUAGCAAACGUUCGAAGAGGAAGAUUUUUUCGGCGAGUAUUUUAUUCUGUGUUAUUUUGUUGGUUUUUGUUUAGGUUUAUUUUUCAAACCUUUCUCAACUUAUUUAGGUAGGGAAAGGUUUUUCUGAUUUUAUUGUUAUGACUUCGGUACUGUAUCGUUUCUCAACGUUGUUCUGGCCUUAAAACUUUUAUUUUUAUUUUUUAUUUUAUUUUUUUUCCGAUCGAUGAUCUUUUUGAGAGGAAUUAUUUUUUGAUAAUUAAAUGAUGAAAUUUAUAUGUUAUUUUUAUUUAUUUGAUCGACGUUCAUGGGACUAGAUAGGGAUCGGUGAUAAUUAACAUUAAAAUUUUUUAUGUUUGAUUCUUAAAUAACUCUCUAGCUAUAUAAGACUGAAAAUAUUAAGAGCUAUUCUAUUAUUUAAAAAUUCUGAUUGGCUAGACAUGCAACGGUUCAAAAAAAUUCUAUUCCUUGUUGCAUGGUUAUUUUUAAUGAUUCUCUUCUCGUUUCGGUUGAAUUAUUAUUUAUAAUUUUUAUUUAAUUUGGUGCUUUCUCUCUGAAUUUUUUAUCCAGGGGCAGAGUUUGUUUCGUCGUGUCAGAUGGAUGAACGAAUGCAAGGAACGAUGACUUCGCUGAUCCUUGCAGAGACAUGGAAGAUGGAUGUGAUUGGUGGAUGGAUAUCUCUUGUUACUCUUUUUGAGCUAGGUGGGUUAGGUUGGCUUUUUCUUUUUGAGCUAAACUUUCUAAAUGAGUUUGUAUCUCUUAUAAAUGGGUUCAUGUCUUGUUUGUAUUUUAGUUUAGUCCGGUUGAAUCUUGAAAAAUACAAUGAAUCCUCA
rnacentral:lncRNA from 1 species